UACGAAGGGGGCGAGCGUUGUUCGGAAUUACUGGGCGUAAAGAGCUCGUAGGCGGUUUGUCGCGUCGUCCGUGAAAACUUGGGGCUCAACCCCAAGCUUGCGGGCGAUACGGGCAGACUUGAGUACUGCAGGGGAGGACUGGAAUUCCUGGUGUAGCGGUGAAAUGCGCAGAUAUCAGGAGGAACACCGGUGGCGAAGGCGGGUCUCUGGGCAGUAACUGACGCUGAGGAGCGAAAGCGUGGGUAGCAAACAGG
rnacentral:rRNA from 1 species